UACGGGGGGGGCAAGCGUUGUUCGGAAUUACUGGGCGUAAAGGGCGCGUAGGCGGUUCGCUAAGUUGGAUGUGAAAACUCUGGGCUCAACCCAGAGCCUGCAUCCAAAACUGGCGGGCUAGAGUUCUGGAGGGGGUAGCGGAAUUCCUGGUGUAGCGGUGAAAUGCGUAGAUAUCAGGAGGAACACCGGUGGCGAAGGCGAGUCCCUGGACAACACCUGACACUGAGGCACGAAAGCUAGGGGAGCAAACAGG
rnacentral:rRNA from 1 species